UUCGAGCGAACAGACGAGGAGCUUGCUCCCUCUGACGUUAGCGGCGGACGGGUGAGUAACACGUGGAUAACCUACCUAUAAGACUGGGAUAACUUCGGGAAACCGGAGCUAAUACCGGAUAAUAUAUUGAACCGCAUGGUUCAAUAGUGAAAGACGGUUUUGCUGUCACUUAUAGAUGGAUCCGCGCCGCAUUAGCUAGUUGGUAAGGUAACGGCUUACCAAGGCAACGAUGCGUAGCCGACCUGAGAGGGUGAUCGGCCACACUGGAACUGAGACACGGUCCAGACUCCUACGGGAGGCAGCAGUAGGGAAUCUUCCGCAAUGGGCGAAAGCCUGACGGAGCAACGCCGCGUGAGUGAUGAAGGUCUUCGGAUCGUAAAACUCUGUUAUUAGGGAAGAACAAAUGUGUAAGUAACUAUGCACGUCUUGACGGUACCUAAUCAGAAAGCCACGGCUAACUACGUGCCAGCAGCCGCGGUAAUACGUAGGUGGCAAGCGUUAUCCGGAAUUAUUGGGCGUAAAGCGCGCGUAGGCGGUUUUUUAAGUCUGAUGUGAAAGCCCACGGCUCAACCGUGGAGGGUCAUUGGAAACUGGAAAACUUGAGUGCAGAAGAGGAAAGUGGAAUUCCAUGUGUAGCGGUGAAAUGCGCAGAGAUAUGGAGGAACACCAGUGGCGAAAGCGACUUUCUGGUCUGUAACUG
rnacentral:rRNA from 1 species